rnacentral:rRNA from 1 species
GACGAACGCUGGCGGCGUGCUUAACACAUGCAAGUCGAACGGAAAGGCCCUGCUUUUGUGGGGUGCUCGAGUGGCGAACGGGUGAGUAACACGUGAGUAACCUGCCCUUGACUUUGGGAUAACUUCAGGAAACUGGGGCUAAUACCGGAUAGGAGCUCCUGCUGCAUGGUGGGGGUUGGAAAGUUUCGGCGGUUGGGGAUGGACUCGCGGCUUAUCAGCUUGUUGGUGGGGUAGUGGCUUACCCAGGCUUUGACGGGUAGCCGGCCUGAGUGGGUGACCGGCCACAUUGGGACUGAGAUACGGCCCAGACUCCUACGGGAGGCAGCAGUGGGGAAUAUUGCACAAUGGGCGGAAGCCUGAUGCAGCAACGCCGCGUGCGGGAUGACGGCCUUCGGGUUGUAAACCGCUUUCGCCUGUGACGAAGCGUGAGUGACGGUAAUGGGUAAAGAAGCACCGGCUAACUACGUG